rnacentral:rRNA from 1 species
GACGAACGCUGGCGGCGUGCUUAACACAUGCAAGUCGAACGGAAAGGCCCUGCUUGCAGGGUGCUCGAGUGGCGAACGGGUGAGUAACACGUGGGUGAUCUGCCCCUUACUUUGGGAUAAGCCUGGGAAACUGGGUCUAAUACUGGAUAGGACCAUGCUGUAGGUGGUGUGGUGGAAAGAUUAGUUUCGGUAAGGGAUGAGCUCGCGGCCUAUCAGCUUGUUGGUGGGGUAAUGGCCUACCAAGGCGUCGACGGGUAGCCGGCCUGAGAGGGUGGACGGCGACAUUGGGACUGAGAUACGGCCGAGACUCCUACGGGAGGCAGCAGUGGGGAAGAUUGCACAAUGGGCGCAAGCCUGAUGCAGCGACGCCGCGUGGGGGAUGACGGCCUUCGGGUUGUAAACUCCUUUCAGCCAUGACGAAGCCCUUGUGGUGACGGUAGUGGUAGAAGAAGCACCGGCUAACUACGUG